rnacentral:rRNA from 1 species
GUCUUAUUGAUAAUAAUUUUAGGUCGGGCCUGCCCAAUGAUUAAGUAAAUUUAAUGGCCGCGGUAUACUGACCGUGCAAAGGUAGCAUAAUCAUUAGUUUUUUAAUUGAAAGCUAGAAUGAAAGGUUUGAUGGAAAAAUAGCUGUCUCUGCUUUAGUUUUUUAGAAUUUUAUUUUUAAGUAAAAAAGCUUAAAUGUUUAUUGAAGACGAGAAGACCCUGUAGAGUUUAAUAUCUCUAGAAUUAGUUAAUUUUAAGGAUUUUUUUGAUUUAUUUGAAUGGGUAUUUAGUUGGGGUGAUUGAAAAAUUGAUAUAACUUUUUUUGUAUUGUUACGUUGAUUAACGGAUGUUUGAUCCUGAAGAGGAAUAAAAGAAUAAAUUACCUUAGGGAUAACAGCGUAAUUUUUUUGGAGAGUUCUAAUCGAUAAAAAAGAUUGCGACCUCGAUGUUGGAUUAAAAUGAAUAGUUGGUGUAGGUGCUGGCUUUAUUAGGUCUGUUCGACCUUUAAAAUUUUACAUGAUCUGAGUUUAGACCGGCGUGAG